GUGCCAGCAGCCGCGGUAAUACAGAGGUCCCGAGCGUUGUUCGGAUUCAUUGGGCGUAAAGGGUGCGUAGGCGGUGGUGUAAGUUGGAUGUGAAAUCUUGGGGCUUAACCUCAAAAUUGCAUUCAAUACUGCUCCGCUCGAGCGCUGUAGAGGAGAUUGGAAUUUACGGUGUAGCAGUGAAAUGCGUAGAUAUCGUAAGGAACACCAGUGGCGAAAGCGAAUCUCUGGACAGCAGCUGACGCUGAGGCACGAAGGCCAGGGGAGCAAACGGGAUUAGAUACCCCUGUAGUCC
rnacentral:rRNA from 1 species